CUGCAUCUCCUGGACAAAGACCACUCUGAUAGCUUCCAUGAGAGCUCCCUGGGGCAUCCAUGGAGAAGAUAUUUUUGAGGGAGAAAUCCCCAAUGCAUCUUGAAUCUUGCAGCCCACACAGGGAUUUCCUACAAGCAAACCCAGCCUUGAGCUAUAAAGACCUGAUCACUUUCCUGGGUGAAGACAGCAGACUGACUCAGUUAUUCUGUGGAUAGGUGACUUGAUCAAUGAGUUGGCGAGAAAUCUAAGAUGUGUCUUUCAGGCGCAUAUCUCAGAUUUGUAAAAUUAUUAUUUAUUUAUUUAAUUUUUUUUUUUGGGAUAGAGACUCACUCUGUCACCCAGGCUGGAGUGCAGUGGCACGAUCUCAGCUCAAUACAACCUCCACCUCCCAGGUUCAAAUGAUUCUCCUGCCUCAGCCUCCUGAGUAGCUAGGAUUACAGGUGCCUGCCACCAUGCCCAGCUAAUCUUUGUAUUUUUAGUAGAGACGGGGUUUCACCAUAUUGGCUGGGCUGGUCUCCAACUCCUGACCUCGGGUGAUCCUCCCGCCUCAGCCUCCCAAAGUGCUGGGAUUACAGGCUUGAACCACCGUGCCUGGCCUCAGAUUUGUAAGAUAAUUUACACAAGACUCGGUGUCUCUGCAUCUCACACUGGUUGUAUAUUGCAUUAAACGGGUGAUAAUUCUCCCCUAAUCAAACUGUGCCCAUAUGCUGGCAAGGACAUUCAUGUUAUGAAGACAAGAGGUAGCUGAAAAAUAAAGAGACAAUAGCCACGAGACAGACCCAGAGGUCAGGCAGGGCAGGCUUGCCGUGAGGACACGGCUCAUCCCACGGGGCCUGGGAACUGGCGGUCACAGCAGUGCAAGGUCCUGUUCUCUCCUCCGCAGGGACAGACAGGCCACCAGCCUGACAGAGACGGCACUGGGGGCAGCUGCCAGGAACAAGCAGGGAUUACACUAGGAUUUCUCAAAACGCCACCGUUCAGAUUUGCUGGAUUUGGAGACAAAAUCCAGGUUUGAAUUGUGAUUCUAUUUCUUACUGCUCCGUGGCCUGGGGCAGCCAGGUCAGCUCUCUGAGCCCUGUGGUCUGCAUGGCUGAGUGAGAAUGCCCACCUCCACUGAGAACCAGCCAGUGAGGUGCCAGCAACCCAUCUAACACAGGCAAAGAGGAUUUCUUAAUGAAAACAUUUUGUCUUGCACAAAACAAUACUCAAUUUAAGAAACAGCAAAUGCAGAAAAGGAAAAAGAGGAUUAGAAAACUAUAGAAAGAGCUCAGUGCAUGGCAAGAGUUUAAUGAAUAUUAGUUCUUCCCAUUUAGUUUUGCUUUCCAACCCACUAAGCAUGCUUCGAAAGACAGAGAAGAAAGAGGGGUUACAGCAAAAGCAGUGAUAAGAGUUUCUUGCAUCUUCACAGAUCAAGCAUCUUGGUCUGCAACCAGGUUUGUCUGAACAAAGGGUUAGGAGCCAAAGUUUGGGGUGGUGAAAGCCAUGGGGCCCAUGUUAGGCUGAGGACAAGUGUGCAUAUGGGUGGCAGGUGGCUUUGCCCAGAAUGAACUGGAGGGUGACGAUCCUGGAUCUGGCAGUGAAGCGGCAGUGUCUCUGCUCAGCCGGAGCGGGAGGUGUGGAGCCACUUCGUCACACUCUCAGCUGCACGGCUUUGGGCCACAGCCUGUAGACACCGGUGGAAUCUGCUCAGAGCUUUGAAGAGAGGAUUCCCAGAGCCAAGCUAUGGAUGGGACUAGGAAGCGAGUGACCAAGAACAGCUGCUCUUCACCUCCACGGGCAGGGUGGGGCGGGGUGGGAGGUGAGCUUUGCCGAAAGCCAGGCUGAAGGUGAUGCAAUGACCGCACCAUGGCCAGGAGCAGAACCACACGUUCUUUUUGGUUUCUGUGUAACUCUUGCCAAAUUUACAAUAAACCCUGCAAAUCUGCUGGAGCCUCUCUCUUUCUUUCCCAACCUUUGCAAGGACCUGUCUUGAAACUCCUUGCCUGAUUCCCCGCUUCUUGUUUUUCCCUGUUCCUCCUGCUCCCUUUUUCUUUUCAGCUUUCUCUCCAAUCAUGUUCCUGUCUAUUCUUUUUCUUUUUGCUACCCUGCAUGGUGAAUAUUUGCUAUUUUCCUGCUCAGCAGAACCUGCUCUCCCCACUCUCAGCCCGUGAGUGGGUGGGUGGGGCUGACCUUAGCACCUGGUGAUGUCACUUGAGAACCUAGUUGGCUGGGCCCAGACUUAUUAGGUGGUCAAGUCAAUAAAUGCCCAUUAUCAUGUUUAAGCUGCUUGUGGCUGGGUUUUCCUGCUUGGCACCAAGAGGCCUGAGUCAUUUGCAUCCUCGGGACCGGCCCCUGCCCCAUCUCCAGCUUACACCUCACCCCAUUCCCACCCCUAAACUACAGUCAGGCCGAGGUGCUGACAGGCUGCCCCUGUGCCACGCCACUGCUGCCCCUCAGUAGGUCCCUGCCCUCCUGGCACUUCUUGGUGUCAUGGUUUUCUGAGCCACAAUGCUGUUCUAAUUGUGAGGCAGUGGCAUCUGCCUGGCUUCCUCCCCAGCCCCAGCCCCUGCCAUGGGGACUCUGCCUGAGCUCUGAGGGCAGGUGGGGCACCCUGCUCCUGGCACAGGCACUAUUUCCACCUCUCUUCUUCAUUGCUAUCCGGCUUUCCCUUGCUUUUAUCCCCUCCCCUUCUCCUGCUUCCCACUGGUCAACUCUUCUCCCAGGGCCUCCCAGGGCCUAGGUCUGAGCAGUGGAGACCUCCAUGAGCAGGCAGAGGGCAACCAGGCAGGCUCCAUCCAGAAGAGAACAGGCCUGGACCAGAUGCAGAUUCUCCCAGGCUCUGCAGGGCCUGGCAGGGAAACUGCUGCUCCUGAGCUGCCUUCAGGGGAGUCCUCAGAAUAAGGGGAGCUAUCAACAGGCAGAGCAGUGUUUACGAGGACAGUUAUGAUCUUGUCACUGUCCUCAAGGAGCUUCAGGUCCAGGAAAGAAAAAUGAGCCACCUGUGAAGCAGAAUUGUGUAAUCACCUGGCGAGCAGGGAGGAGCCCCCCAGACACCACAAAGACAGGGAGCACUGGGAGGGAGAAGCGGGGCCAGGCUGGGGAGACCUGCAGAAUGGGGCGGGGCUUCUGGUUUCAAUGUUUACUUGCUGAGUGGCCUUGGACAAGUUAUUUCAUCUGCCUGAGCCUUACUUUCCUCAUCUGUAACAUGAAAAUGCCAAAUAUACCAGCACCUGGAUUGCCACGAGGAUGAGGUGAUUACAAUGCGUAUGGUCCUGAAACAGUGGUGUCCCUCUCCCCACCCUGCCAUUACCCAACCUCUGGUCUUCAAAUCGACCCUAUAAGGUAGGUAUUUUUACGUUCGCUUUGCAGAUGAGAAAACCAAAGCUCUGUGUAAUGACACAUCCCGGAAAUGUGAGGACAGGUUUCAAAUCCAGGUGUGUCUGGUCAAACCUGAGCGUUCCCUCCAGCCCUGCUGCCCCCUUUCUGCAUGUGAUCUUGGCUGGGGUCAGUGUCUGGCAAGCACACUGUCUGGCUGGCUCAGGCCUUUUGCCCCAGCUGUGGCCUUCACCCCCAACUAAUUAACUAACUGACAAGCUGUUUAUGAAGCUGCACUCCUGGUGACGUUGUUGGUGGCUGUGAUAAUCAUCCUGUUUUUCCACUUAUUCAGCCACCUUCUGAAGGGUCCUUUUAUGGGACCCUUUUAUGGAUUAUCAUUGUUCUGGGCAGUUUAUUAUGCAAAUGAAGCCUCAAAGUGCUCGAUGCUGUCUGCUGAAAUGUGCUUUAUAAGAUAAUACAUUUUUUUCCACAAACCAAAAUAAACUAGUGUAAAUGACAAUGGAACGAGAAAAGCUUUGCUCUUUAUAAAAAGGGCCGUGUGAGAUUCUUUGAAACUGAACGCCGGCGGAGUCUGACUCUGACCCUGGAUGAAGAGAUGCUGCUCUUUUAAGCGAGGGAUUUCUUUUCGGAAGAGGCUUUGUGAGCAUGGAACAGCGAAGCCCGGGAUGGGAACCAAGAAAGGUCACCGAAAUGUAGACACCCUGGCCUCAGUCUCUGGAGUUCAAAAAGGCUGCGGUCAAUUGUUGGAAUUUCUUUUCACAUGAAGAAAUCUACAUUCUGUGUAAAUAAAC
rnacentral:lncRNA from 1 species